rnacentral:rRNA from 1 species
UCGAGAAUUUUUCUCAAUGGGGGAAACCCUGAAGGAGCGACGCCGCGUGGGGGAUGAAUGGCUUCGGCCCGUAAACCCCUGUCAUUUGCGAACAAACCUUUCGUGUGAAUAGCACGGGAGCUGAUUGUAGCAGAAGAGGAAGGGACGGCUAACUCUGUGCCAGCAGCCGCGGUAAUACAGAGGUCCCAAGCGUUGUUCGGAUUCACUGGGCGUAAAGGGUGCGUAGGUGGUGAGGUAAGUUUGACGUGAAAGCUCCGAGCUUAACUCGGAAAUUGCGUUGAAUACUAUCUUGCUAGAGGGUUGUAGGGGGGACUGGAAUUCUCGGUGUAGCAGUGAAAUGCGUAGAUAUCGAGAGGAACACCAGUGGCGAAGGCGAGUCCCUGGACAACUCCUGACACUGAGGCACGAAAGCUAGGGGAGCAAACA